AUAUAUAUAUAUAUAUAUAUCAUAAUAAUAGUAACUUUGUCCAAAAACAGUGAGAUUGUAAAAUGAAAGAAAGGGAAAAGCGGGGAUGUCGUCUUUGGUGGUCCGAUGCAGUUUGCACAGUUGUGUAGCCAAUGGCUUAAUGGCACUGACAUGCAGCUACGAAAGAAACAACGGUGGCGAGGAGAGGCCGGUCCUGAGGUGAUCUGCUAAAAGGACCAAAGCUUAGGCCUCCGUUUGACUUUUGACCAGCUUUCGUUCACAUUUUGCUACAUCCUUCCCAACGCCGUAUAACCAGAAGUACCGGUUGUUUUGUUUUUUUCACAACUUCCUGCUUUGUGUUGUCGUGCCAUAAGCGAGGCUUUGCCAAACCAGUUUUUCCAACGUCGCCGACUUUUUUUUGUACUUUGGAGUCAAAGAGGGUGGAAGGCAGCAGUUAGCUUAUCUUGGCAACCUUUGGCAAAGAAGUGCCUCCUUUCUUGAAUAUGUACAAACCCCUUUUUACAUAGCAUGUUAAAGCCAGGUCUUACGUCUGGUUUGACACAGAAAUGGGGGCGUGAAGCUUUGGGCGUUGUAUUAGAGCCGUAACAUGAGUCCACUUGGAAGUAGUAUCGCAGUCAUAACAGAGGUGGGUCAGUGCCUUUAUGUUGGGGAAGACCAUAACACCGUGUUACGGGAGUGACGUUUUAACACCCGACACUCACUCCCGUCUGCCCUGUUGUGUGAAACGCGAUUUGUCCAACACAUAUUUUAUACAUCGGGCGAGACUCUGACAUCAUCUUUUUUGCUGGAUGCUAUUUCAAAGCGGGAACCGUGGCGUUGUGGGUUCUAUGAGAGAAGCUUAUGUUACAGCUCCAAUGCGGCCAUUUUGAGGCUCUUCUCGUGUCAAUCUGAACUUGGGCAGGGAACAGGCCCACUGGUUUUCAAUGAACAUUUUCUCAUUCACCUUUAAGCCUUGAGUGUAUAUUGGAUAUAAAUACAUACAUAUAUAUCGAUAUAUUACAGCGUGAAUAGUAACCAGAUCUAUAUUGUUUUUUAUACCUGAGCAUGCUGCGAUACUGUAUGACUCAGCCACUAGUUGGAUGUUGCUUUAAAAAAAAGAAACAAGGACUGUUGUUGUUAGUUUACUAAAUGGAGGAUUUUGACUGAGGUCAACUCCCGCUGCCAAUUCAAGAUGGACACACCACCCCCCGUUUUUUGUUUUUUUUUCCCCAGUAGCGGGAGCGAAGUGUGUAGCUUUUGCCCGAACGUGUGCUGAACCUCAUGCAAGAACUUUGAUUUUGUUUUGUUUUUAACAUUUUUACCCUAUUUGGUUCAUUUAGAUUUAGCAUACGAUACAUGACUGGCUACAUCUUAGCAUAUUGAGCGAUGUUAGCUAAAUUGGUAGCCGUCAAAAUAGGGAGGGAAAAAAUUAUUAAAUUGGUUAAAUUCUAGAUGUUAUAACCGACUUAGCGUCAUGUUUACUAAAGCAAAUGAGUGGAUUUUGAAUGUAAAGGCUGAAAAAGAACAGCUUUCCAUUUGUUCCAAUGUUUCAAUUUUGACAUUACCACAGACUUUGGCACUCUGUUCUCUAGUGACAUUAGCUAGUUUAUCCACAUGAUGCUAGCUAAGAAAAAAAAGCAAAUUUUUUUUUGAUUGUAACAAAUGCCCCCAAAAUUCCAAACCUUCUGAUUCCACUGCAUUUUGUUAAUGAAAAUUACAACAGCAACUUUGUUGUAAGUUUCUUGCAUGAGGUUCAGUGUCUGCAAUCAUAAACCGAACGAGUUGUGUUUAGCGGUCUGUUGUCAGCAGGGUUGGUCUCAGCUGGCCUUACGAACUCUUUCUAACACUGACUGUUGAAAAUCUUUGUAUCUCAAUUUUAACAAGAACGCUGUGUAAGCAGAAUGCAGUAUUUUUUUUUUUUCCCCCCACUGCCACGGGUCACACAUGGUUGUCUUUUUACUCUGCAGUACACUAGGACUCUUUCUGUGUGGGAAAAAAAAGAGACAUCAAAUGUGUCCUUUUGUACUGUAUUGAUGAAAUCAUAGGGUGUUUUAUUGACGCAUUUGCUUCAUGGCCGCCGCUUGCCCCAAUCUGAUAUAUAUAUUUUUUUUGUAGUCUUGUCAAUCGCAAAAUUACCAAAUGGCACUUGAGAUUGGGCAUAAUUCUUGAUAAUUUCCAUUGGCUCAUUUAUUCAAAGUAAGGAUUUGGUCAUUGACUAACCUUCACUAUAAUAUAAGAAAACCUUUAUUUGUCUCACAAUGGAGAAACUCCCACUGGCAACAUUAUUGCUGUGGAAACAGGAGUUCAGAACUAUUAAAUCAUAUUGAUAAACAAAUUGAUUGUUCAACCUUUACCCAAUGAAGGAAAUGUAAUCUAAUGGCCAUCAAGGUCCAAUUCUGUCUUGUUCAGUUUUAAUGUGCUCUAUGCUAUUCCUGUGGCCUUUUAAUGUUAAUAUAUAUACAAUAUAAAUAUAUAUUGAAUAUGUUAUGACUUGAUAUGCAAAUGUUGUUGUUCUACUACAGCACUAGAGUGGAAAAUGAACCCCCCCCCUAAAAAAAACACUUAAUGGUGUUGGACUCCAUUUCAGUAUGCAGCUUUCAUUUUGUAAAACUUGUUUCCGAGCUGCUUUUCCUAUGUGUUGUUUUCAUUUCUUCUUUAUUUUAUUUUUUUUAUAUAUGUAUAACAAUGAAAAAAAAAGUGCGGGGGGGGGCGGGGGGGACACACGUGCACGCUGCCACAUCACGGGAACGGUCGUUUCUGUGUCCUUAACAACUUGUAGCCACAUUUAGGUGUCAAUGUGCUCAGGACGGGAGGGUACUAUUCAAUGAUAUAAAGUAAAAAGGAAAGUCAAUGAUUUAAAAAAAAAUGGUUACCUCAAUGAGGGAAUUUUCAGGGAUUUUUAUUUGGGGACAUGCAUCGUGUUGCAUUGAAUGGCCUUUUUUUUUGGAAUGGUCAAUUUGUAUUGUGCUGUUUUUAACACAACAAGCAAGUGUGUGGGCGAGGGAAGGAGGCAGGCCACGUUGGAAAAAAAAAAAACCACCAUUGGCCCAAUGUAUUGUACUGUACAGUGUACUGAAACCACACCACACUUGUUAUACUGUAAUAAAUAUUGACAUAUUUUUUCUUUA